GCCCCUGUAGCUCAAUUGGUUAGAGCACCGGACUCAUAAUCCGUUGGUUGUAGGUUCAAGUCCUACCGGGGGCA
rnacentral:tRNA from 2 species